AUUGAACGCUGGCGGCAUGCUUUACACAUGCAAGUCGAACGGCAGCGCGGGCUUCGGCCUGGCGGCGAGUGGCGCACGGGUGAGUAAUACAUCGGAACGUGCCCAGUAGUGGGGGAUAGCUCGGCGAAAGCCGGAUUAAUACCGCAUACGACCUGAGGGUGAAAGCGGGGGAUCUUCGGACCUCGCGCUAUUGGAGCGGCCGAUGGCAGAUUAGCUAGUUGGUGGGGUAAAGGCCUACCAAGGCGACGAUCUGUAGCUGGUCUGAGAGGACGACCAGCCACACUGGGACUGAGACACGGCCCAGACUCCUACGGGAGGCAGCAGUGGGGAAUUUUUGACAAUGGGCGAAAGCCUGAUCCAGCAAUGCCGCGUGUGUGAUGAAGGCCUUCGGGUUGUAAAGCACUUUUGGCGGGAACGAAAAGGACUGUGCCAAUACCACGGUUCGAUGACGGUACCCGCAGAAUAAGCACCGGCUAACUACGUG
rnacentral:rRNA from 1 species